rnacentral:rRNA from 1 species
GAUGAACGCUGGCGGCGUGCCUAAUACAUGCAAGUCGAGCGAACGGACGAGAAGCUUGCUUCUCUGAUGUUAGCGGCGGACGGGUGAGUAACACGUGGAUAACCUACCUAUAAGACUGGGAUAACUUCGGGAAACCGUAGCUAAUACCGGAUAAUAUUUUGAACCGCAUGGUUCAAAAGUGAAAGACGGUCUUGCUGUCACUUAUAGAUGGAUCCGCGCUGCAUUAGCUAGUUGGUAAGGUAACGGCUUACCAAGGCAACGAUGCAUAGCCGACCUGAGAGGGUGAUCGGCCACCAUGGAACUGAGACAAGGGCCAGACCCCUAAGGGAGGCAGCAGUAGGGAAUCUUCCGCCAUGGGCGAAAGCCUGACGGAGCAACGCCGCGUGAGGGAUGAAGGUCUUCGGAUUGGAAAACCCUGUUAUUAGGGAAGAACAUAUGUGUAAGUAACUGUGCACAUCUUGACGGUACCUAAUCAGAAAGCCACGGCUAACUACGUG